UACGGAGGGUGCAAGCGUUGCUCGGAAUUAUUGGGCGUAAAGGGCAAGUAGGUGGUCUCAUUUGUCUGGGGUGAAAGCCUUGAGCUUAACUCAAGAAGUGCCCCAGAAACGGUGAGACUAGAGUCCUGGAGAGGGUCGUGGAAUUCCCGGUGUAGCGGUGAAAUGCGUAGAGAUCGGGAGGAACACCAGAGGCGAAGGCGGCGACCUGGACAGGUACUGACACUCAACUGCGAAAGCGUGGGGAGUAAACAGG
rnacentral:rRNA from 1 species